UUGACCUCGGAUCAGGUAGGAAUACCCGCUGAACUUAAGCAUAUCAAUAAGCGGAGGAAAAGAAACCAACAGGGAUUCCCCUAGUAACGGCGAGUGAAGCGGGAACAGCUCAAAUUUGAAAUCUGGCCCUCGGGUCCGAGUUGUAAUUUGUAGAGGAUGCUUUUGGUGCGGUGCCUUCCGAGUUCCCUGGAACGGGACGCCUUAGAGGGUGAGAGCCCCGUACGGUUGGACGCCUAGCCUCUGUAAAGCUCCUUCGACGAGUCGAGUAGUUUGGGAAUGCUGCUCUAAAUGGGAGGUAUAUUUCUUCUAAAGCUAAAUACUGGCCAGAGACCGAUAGCGCACAAGUAGAGUGAUCGAAAGAUGAAAAGCACUUUGAAAAGAGGGUUAAAUAGCACGUGAAAUUGUUGAAAGGGAAGCGUUUAUCACCAGACUUUUUCUGGGGGGAUCAUCCGGUGUUCUCACCGGUGCACUUCCCCCAGUUGAGGCCAGCAUCGGUUUUCGGAGGGGGAUAAAAGCUUCGGGAAUGUGGCUCCCUCGGGAGU
rnacentral:rRNA from 1 species